rnacentral:rRNA from 1 species
GAUGAACGCUGGCGGCGUGCCUAAUACAUGCAAGUCGAGCGAACGGACGAGAAGCUUGCUUCUCUGAUGUUAGCGGCGGACGGGUGAGUAACACGUGGAUAACCUACCUAUAAGACUGGGAUAACUUCGGGAAACCGGAGCUAAUACCGGAUGAUAUUUUGAACCGCAUGGUUCAAAAGUGAAAGACGGUCUUGCUGUCACUUAUAGAUGGAUCCGCGCUGCAUUAGCUAGUUGGUAAGGUAACGGCUUACCAAGGCAACGAUGCAUAGCCGACCUGAGAGGGUGAUCGGCCACACGGGAACUGAGACACGGUCAAGACUCCUACGGGAGGAAGCAGUAGGGAAUCUUCCGAAAUGGGCGAAAGCCUGACGGAGCAACGCCGCGUGAGUGAUGAAGGUCUUCGGAUCGUAAAACUCUGUUAUUAGGGAAGAAAAUAUGUGUAAGUAACUGUGCACAUCUUGACGGUACCUAAUCAGAAAGCCACGGCUAACUACGUG